rnacentral:rRNA from 1 species
GAUGAACGCUGGCGGCGUGCCUAAUACAUGCAAGUCGAGCGAAUGGAUUAAGAGCUUGCUCUUAUGAAGUUAGCGGCGGACGGGUGAGUAACACGUGGGUAACCUGCCCAUAAGACUGGGAUAACUCCGGGAAACCGGGGCUAAUACCGGAUAACAUUUUGAACCGCAUGGUUCGAAAUUGAAAGGCGGCUUCGGCUGUCACUUAUGGAUGGACCCGCGUCGCAUUAGCUAGUUGGUGAGGUAACGGCUCACCAAGGCAACGAUGCGUAGCCGAACGGCGAGGGUGAUCGGCCACACUGGGACUGAGACACGGCCCAGACUCCUACGGGAGGCAGCAGUAGGGAAUCUUCCGCAAUGGACGAAAGUCUGACGGAGCAACGCUGCGUGAGUGAUGAAGGCUUUCGGGUCGUAAAACUCUGUUGUUAGGGAAGAACAAGUGCUAGUUGAAUAAGCUGGCACCUUGACGGUACCUAACCAGAAAGCCACGGCUAACUACGUGUCAGCCGCCGCCGUAA